rnacentral:lncRNA from 1 species
UAAAAUCUGCUGGUGAGGCAUUACCAAAUAGUAGAGACAAAACCAGUUUAGGAUUUUUUAUCAUAUGUAAUCUUGGGCUAAUCCUUUAUCUUCUAUCUUCCCUGCUGUUUCCAAAGAUGCUGUGAAGAAUCAAUAAUUGUUAUAAGCAUCAGGAAGACAUGACUGAAAAGAACAAUAAGAAAUGGUAAGUCUGCAAUGAUAAACUUUAGCAAGUAGUAGUAUUCCUGAAUAAUUUAUUAAUGUGAUGCAAUCUCAAUAAAAAUGCAACAGGAUUUUUUUUGAAGCAAGACAAACUACUUCUCAAAUUCAUAUAGAAGAAAAAGCUAGCUGGCAAAUUUCUUAGGGGAAAGAAGGGCAGUAAGGGUGAUUAGACCUAUGAUAAAGUAGAACAUACUAUGAAACUACUGUGAUCAAAAUGAUACAAAUAGUGUAUGAAGAGACAACAGAGACCAAUGGAAUAAACCAGAAAGCCCAGAAAUGCAUCAAAUAGACAAACUUAGUAUAUGAUAAAGAUGACAUUUUGAAUCAUUUCAUGAGAAGGAUCUAAAAGUAUGAGAUACACUUUUCACCUGUAAGAUCGACAGCAAAAAAAAAAAAAAAAAUCAAGCAAGUGAAAAAUAAAUCGAAAAAUUUAAUGACAUGCUCUGAUGAUCAGGGUACUAGCAAACAGGUAUUUUCAAAUAUUUGCUAGUGGAAACAUGAAUCGGCACAACCCUUUUGGAGGACAGUUUGACAAUAACUAUCAAAAUUGAGAAUGCUCACACCCUUUAACUCAGCAAUUUGCUUUCACUAAUAUACCCUUCAAAUACUCUCUUAUCUGUAAAAUGGCCUGCAUACGAAGUAAUUCGUUGCAGAAAUGUUGGUGAGAGCUAAAAAUUAGAAGCAAUGUAAGUGUCCAUUGAUUGGGAUUAGUUCAAUAAGUGAUAAUACCUUCCUAAAAUGGAAUGAUGCGCAGCCUAAAGAUACUUAAAGAGAAGGCAAUUCUACCAAAAGAGCUAACCUGUAUAUACAGGUAUGGAACAAUCCGCAAGCUACAUGUUCAAGUGAAAACCCAAAUGCAGAGCAGUGUGUACACAGUGUAGAACGUGGAGUGUAUAGAAUGUGUACUUGGGGGCAAGGGGAUAGUGUAUCUUUCAGAUAAGAAGCUAUUCCUAGUGGUUUCCUCUGAGAAAGAGAAGUAGUGAGGGACAGAGUGGGAACGACUCACUUUUAGCUAUAUAUGGUCUUUUGUGUCUUUUGACUUUUUAACUGUGUUCAUAAAUUACUGACCCGAAAGCUUUGUCUUCUAUAAGAAACAACGAACAAUAUAACACCAAUAGCAGAAAUAAAAUAAUAUGAAGAAUAAUCUCUGAAAAAUUUACAUACCACAGUCUAAAUACCAUAGAAUAUAAAUGUUUCUUAUUCUUGUGAAAGUAUUGAACAAUAUGAUUAUUAUCCCAGAGGUGGGCAUUGGAAAAUUUAGAAUAUAGGAAAUAGGAAAGAAAUAUCUUAUCCAGACAUUUAGAGGAAUAAUGGGUCAGAAUCUCUUAAAAGGACAAUUUAACUAUCUGUCUCAGUAUUCUGAAAGAGUUUCAGUAACUAAGUAUCGAUCCAGACAUGGCUUUAAGUCAGUGUGAUAACCUAAAUAACUUUAAAAAUCAUAACACUUGCCCAUGAAUCCUGGCCUUUGCAUGGCCCAAACGUUUUAGGAAUAGUAUUUAAGUAUGCUCAACGGGACUUAGAUUGAGUACUUUUCCCACAGGACCUAGGAACUCCAUAAAUGAGUUUGUCAUUUUGUAGUGUUUUACCUUUGAAUUGUUUCUUGUUUCUUUUAUGCGGUGAGUAAUGUAAGGCAAGGGGGAGAAUGUAACUCAGAUGGCUAUGAAAUCUGGUCCUUUCUAUGAUGGAGAAGCAAAUUAUGUAAGACCAAAACUGACUGUAGCCAUUUCUGCCUCCUAAGGACAAUGGAAUAGUAGUUCCUACCAGUGAGGAAAUAUCUGGUCCCUACUUCACACAGAGGCCAAAAAGAAAGGUCUUUGCUGGUACUCCUGGCAGGCUCAAGGUUCACAUUCGCUUAGAUGAGCCAUAGUUUUGCAAUCCAUACCAAUGAGUUUUGGGAUAUGCAAAGGCAAGCCUGGAAAAGAUCAAAAUAGUUCUGCAGGUAAAGAGAACGGAACCAAUGCAUUGAGAGCCCUGAGAGCCCUGGUAAGUUAAAGGUGACAAGAUGUGAAGAGGGUCUCAAGGGAGAGGGAACCAAGCAAACUUCUGUACAGUUUGCUCCAUAUUCAAAUGUCUUGUAUGAAUGAUAAUGUAAGGUGGAGGGAGAGCAAAGGGCUGCCAUUCCUCCCUUGGGGACAAAGAAAUGCACAAUACUAACCAUGGUGGGGCAAAACAGUAGAUAAAUUAAUUCUCCAAAACCUGAGGGAAUUGGAAAAUACCCUAGGAAUUGGAAAUUACCUAGAUUUCCUUGAGGGAGAACAUAAGAGCUCAAGCUAAUUUCCUUUGAAUUUCAAAGGAGAAGGUAAUCCAGCUGACAUAUGGCUUAUACCUCCCUCCACUCAAAACCUACACAAGAGAUUGUGAAAUGGUCCAAUACAUUUAUUAUAUCAACAGCAUUAGGCCGGCACACAGGGACUACUUGGAUUUCCCACUCCUUCCUCUAAGAAUAAAGUUUCAGAGGUUUCAGCUAACCCAAUCUGCAGCACUUGGUCAGGAAAUUAGACUUUUAAGACCUCUCAUUUCUCCUGAGAUCCAUAAAAAACUUGCUUCCUCCAAAGAACUUCCUAAAAUUCUUCCUAAGUAUUUACUCAUAAAAAUCUUUCCAUGGUUUUUUUUUCUAGUACUCUCGUGGAUUCAUGUGUUACUAUUUAAAUCCAUUGCUCUAUCUCAAAUUUAUUUUGAGAUAUAGAGUGAAUUUUUUUUUUUCCAGCUAGUCACUCAGUUAACUGUCCAACCAUUUUUUAUUGAAUAAUCAAUUGUUUCCCUAUGGAGCUAAAAGGCCACAUUUAUCAUACUAAAAUUCUUCACAAGUCUGUCUCACUCGCUCGCUCUCCCUCUCGCUCUCCCCUCUCUCUCUCUUCCUCCUCUCAGGAGGAAGAGAGAGAGAGGGGAGAGCGAGCGAGCGAGAGACUCCAGAGAGAGGGAGAGUGAAAGGGAGAACAAGCGAGAUCCCCUGACUUUUUUCGUGCGGGAAAAUUCCUCCCCUACCCUCAAGGUCUUCCAGGUGGACUAAGAAUUAAAUUUACGUGAGAAAAAAAUUUUUGUUCCUUGCGAACAGAGACCCAAUAAUGAAAUUGAGAGUCAAAGAAAUGACUAAGGCAUGCAGUUUUUAUACAUUUUAUACAAAGAGAUGAUAGAUUUAUGAGGAAUUUGCAGGUUAAGGAAAACAGCCAUUUGGGGGCUUUAAUUAGAACGGAAUUCUAUGCAGAAUUGGGGCUGAGGUAGUAAAUUAGUGAAAAAGUAGCAAAGCUUAUUUUAUAGCUUUCUCGACUUCAGCGUCCCUAUUUUUGUUGAUAAGGAUGUCUUUUUUACUUCUCAUUACAGGGAUGCUAUUUUUCAUAAAGGACAUUUGUUUCCUGCUUUCAGGGGAAAAGAGGAGGGUCUGAGUGUCCCUCCUCCAAGUGUUUCCCGAGUAGGUUCAAUUUAAAAUAAUCAAUAAGCCCUUACUGUUCAUUUGCAGUUUUAUAAUGUUACCCUGUCUUGUAGGGUUGAUUUCUCCUCAUUAUUCUUCUUUUUUUUUAAGUUUCUUGGCUCUCACUUUGAAGGGUGUUUGUUGGUUGGUUGGUUGGUUUUUUGCUUUCCAAUAAGAACUUUAAAAUCCAUUUUUCUACUUCUAAAAAACUUGUCUUUGUGUUUUCGUUGAGAUUAUGUUAAAUUUCCAGAUUAAUUGGGAAGAUGCAGAAAUCUUUGUUGACUUGGCAGCCUCCUAACUAACAAAAGGAUAAGUUCUUUCAUUCAGGUUUUGUUUUGUGUCUGUUAGAAUUUUGGAAAGUUUUCUUUGUAUGAAUUAUGAACCCGUCUUAAUUUUAUCCUGAACUAUUUUGCCUUUUUUGUGACCAUUACAUAUGACCUCUUUUGCCCAUUAUGUUUUCUCAACCUGAAAUUGCCAUUUCUGUAAGUCAAAAAAGGUUCAACAUUGGCAAUCUCAUAUAGCUUUCCUAAUAGCAACACUAAUGAUUCUUUUAUGUCUACUUUAUUCAUAAUUACCUUAGUGAAAUAUUCAGGUUGUUUGCCAUACUUUUUCAAGAGAUUUUCUUGAGUUUUUCAGGUAUAUAAUCACAUUGCCUAUAAAUAAUAAUUUAUUUAUUUAUAAAUAAACAUUCAUCUUUAUAUUCUAUCUUUACUAUCUAAUUUUUAUACCUCUCACUUAUUUCUGUUGUCUGAUUGUAUAGGCUAUUACCUCCAGGAUAAUGGUGGUUGGGUAUAGUGUUGAGGGUAACAUUCUAGUAUUUGCCUAUAUAGCAUGUAGGGUAUGUAUGUAUGAGUGAUAUAAAAUGAUUAUUCCUACUUUAUUAAGCAUUUUAAUCAAAAAUGGUUGAAAUUUUCAAAUGCUUCAUCAGCGUUUAUGGAGAUGACACUAUGAUUUUUCUCCUUUGAAACAUUAAUAUGGUGAAAUACAUAGAUAUAUUUCAUAAGAUCGAAUCAUCUUUGCAUUCCUUAUAUGAAUCUUACUUUACUGUGGCACCUGGGUGGCUCAAUCAGUUAAGCAUCUGACUUUGGCCCAGAAAUUCAUCCAUUUUGUGCAUUUAAAAAUUGUUGUUUGCAUAGAACUGAGCAAAAUCAGCUUUUAGAAGUCUUUUAAUUUCUCCCAUGUCUGUGGUUAUUAAAUCUAUUUUCAUUUCCUAUUUUAAGCACAUGUGCUUUCUCCAUUAAAAAGAAAAUAAGUUAAUUAUUAAUUUGGUUGGUUUUUGAUUUAUCAGUACUACCAUUUUCCUUUGUCCAAUUCUUUAUCUUUAUGCAUUCCUUCCUUUUGCUGUAUUAAGUGUAAUAAUGCCAAUUCCUGUGUAGGUAAUAUUUUUGUUUAAUUGCUUAAAUAAAAUUAUUGUUUAAAUAAAAGUUAAUAUGCCAUUUAUAUUGCUCCCCAUAUAAACAAUUGUUAAAAAAAAAAAAAAAGUUGGGAGAGCCCUGGGUGGCUCAGUCGCUUGAGUGUCUGACUCUUGAUUUCAGCUCAGGUCAUCAUCCCAGAAUUGUGGAUCAGGCCUGAGGCAGGCUCUGUGCUGAACAUGGAGCCUCCUUAAGAUUCAUUCUCUCUCUCUCUCUCUCUCUCUCUCUCUCUCUCUCUCCUCUCUCCUCUCUCCUCUCUCUCUCCUUCUGCCCCUCUCCCCAACUUGCUCUCUCUCUAAAAAAAAAAAAAAAAAAAAGAUAAUAAAAUUUUAGUGAGGAGAAAUGGAAUUAAGUCCUUAAUUCUUUUUUUUCUUCUAGGUAAAUAUCAUGAUAAAUUUAACUGUCAUGUGGUUCUGUAUUUUGGAAUUGUUGACGAUUCACUUUUCCUAAGCAAUAAACCUAGUACGACAACAGGAGUUAAAAGGAUGCUGUUUUUAUUGACUUUCUUUAAAAUGGCAUUCCUCCGUUCCUUUAUUUCUUAAUAAAUUAUUAUACAAUGGGUCAAGCUAUAAUAUGAAAAUCAAGGAAAAAUACAUCCCUAGCUUCUCUCCCUGCCAAAAAGUUGGUUUAUCUAAUAACUUGUGCGGAUCCCUAGCAAGCAUUCCUUGCCUGUGCGUGGUUUUGGUAUACUGAGACAGGUAGUUAUGUUCCCUUCAGUUCAGUUCAAUCCAGCAGUCCUUUACUGUGCGCUUUGACUAUCCUAAGUGCUGUAGGGAGAAUAUUCCAUAAACCAUGCUUCCUCCUCUCCACACCUCCCCACCCUCACCCGGAGGAGCUCGCAGCCCAUUCCGUUGCUCUUCUAGCCUCAAUCAGACUUCACAGAGAGAUGUGUUGCAAGACAGGACCGAGGGAAGGAGGAAUGGCUGAACCCAGAUCAUUUGCCAUAACUGUGAAAACAAGGAACAAAAGUUAAGCUAGUUGAUAUGCAUGCUCAGUAGUCAGCAGGAUACUCACAGCAGUAUUACUUGUAGCAACCCUCAGGAGCCUGAAUGAAGCUCUUGUUUGACGUUCUAAACCCUGCCAGUAUUGAAUCCCCUGAUUGUAUUCUCUGGGAGAAGACGUGGUCCCUGACUCUGCCAAGGAGACUUGAAGGUGGGGAGGCCUCCGUUUCCUCCUACCCUCUCUCAAUGCUUGACGCCAGGGCAUCCGGGGAGUGGUAGAACCAGUUUGCAUACAAGCUUGCAAAAGAGUUGAAUUACCUUCAGAGGUUUUGAUUUCUCAAAAAUGCAAAAUAUCCUCAAUUAUUUCAAUUCCAUUCCACAUAAAAGUUGGAAGAAAUAAUCAAGUAAGAAAUGAAUGUAUAACAUUAUUUCAUACUUGAAAUAGUUAAUUCAAAAUAAUCAGUAUUAUCCUCAGGGACACUCUGAUAAUGGAAACAGCCUUAGAUGUAUUAUGAAGCUUUGGGGAAGGACAGGGUUUAAGGUUUAUUACUCACGUGAACACCUUAGAAACUAGAAGGCAGAAGGCAGAGCAAGAAUACGAUAGUAUACGGUAGGAUACCUUUGGAAUAUUUCAGUAAAUUUACGUCUUGUAUUUCUACUACAAUGGAGUCUCUGGAACAAUAGUUAGUUUAGGAACACCAUUGGAGUAAAGGAUAUCUGCACCCCAGAUAUAAGGGCCCUGAAGAGGAAAGUGUUAGAUUGGAGCCCAGGAAAUGGUCCCUCCAAGGCUCACUCUCCUGUGACAGGAGUGUCCAAACAACCCUCCCUUCUUAUCCUGGUCCCCUCUGAAAACUCUCAGCCCUCACUUUCUCUCUCCUUUUGUGAUAUACACAUAGAGCUCAAUAUUGGUGUGGGGGAUGUUGUUUUAUUUUUAAGGCCAUUUUGCAUGUUUUUGUAUCAUAUUUUUAUAAAAUUAUUUCAGCAGUAAUGUAACUUGUGGGGUGUUUUUUUUUUGCAAAACAAUCAGGUUAGCUUUUAUUUUAUUUAAAUUUUUUUAAUGUUUAUUUAUUUUUGAGAGAGAGAGAGAGACAGAGCACGAACGGGGAAGGGGCAGAGAGAGAGGGAGACACAGAAUCCAAAGCAGGCUCCAGGCUCUGAGCUGUCAGCACAGAGCCCGAUGGGAGGGGGCUCGAACUCACAAACUAUGAGAUCAUGACCUGAGCUGAAGCCAGACACUUAACCGACUGAGACACCCAGGUGCCCCUAUUUUAUUUUGUUUCUUAAAUGUAAUUUAUUAUCAAAUUGGCUAAUGUACAUUGUGUAAAGUGUGCUCUUGGUUUUUGGGGGUAGAUUCCGGUGGUGCCUUGCUUACAUACAACAUCCAGUGCUCAUCCCAACAAGUGCCCUCCUCAAUGCCCAUAGCAGUAAUGUAAUUUGAAAGAAUCAUAGAAUGUCUUCCCUAUGGCUUUUCUUUUCUUUUUUUAAUGUUUAUUUUAUUUUUGAGAGAGAGAGACAGACAGAACAUGAGCAGGGAAGGGGCAGAGAGAGAGGGAGACACAGAAUUCGAAGCAGGCUCCAGGCCCUGAGCUGUCAGCACAGAGCUGGAUGCGGGGCUCAAACUCACGAACCGUGAGAUCACGACCUGAGCCGAAGUCAGACACUUGACCAACUGAGGCACGCAGACACCCCUCCCUAUGGCUUUUCUAAGUUAGAUUUCUCCAGCUCCUCGUAUAAAGACUCAUUAACUUUCUGGCCAUUCUCCCACUGUACAUAUUUUAAUCUGUCCCUGUCUGCCUUAAAAUAAAACACUCUGAACAGGAAAAUAUACUCAAGUUAUCGUUCACGAGAGCAGAAGAGUAAAUAAGAUGGCCUCUGACCAUCUUUGUCCUGCCCAUUGCAGCCCUCUGGCAGCCAUGCCCUUUUAUUGACAACCAUUACAUCACAGUUCGCGAGGUCUAUUUCACAUGAAUUGCCAAGCAUCCAGGUCUUCUCAGUUGAUUUUUGGAUCCUGAACUCAGAGAUGUUGUACUUACCAAGGUUCUUGAUGGUAAAUAACAGAAAACAACUAUGGUUCCAUAGCAGAAAUGGACUGUAUUUUGAUUCUCAUGGCUCUUGGAAUCAAAGAAUGGUAGAAAUGGGGUGCCUGGGUGGCUCAGUCGGUUAGGCAUCCGACUUUGGCUCAGGUCAUGAUCUCGUAGCCUGGGAGUUUGAGCCCUGCCUAGAACUCUGUGCUGACAGCUCAGAGCCUGGAGCCUGCUUCAGAUUCUGUGUCUCCCUCUCUCUCUGCCCCUCCCCUGCUCAUGCUCUGUCUCUCUCAACAAUAAAAAAAAAUAAAAAAUAAAAACAAAAAACAAAAAACAAAAACAAAGAACAGUAGAAAUGAAUCACAUAGGAGCCCAGGGAGGCAAGGCCCAGAUGAGCUGUCAGCACAAGAGCAGGCUGCUCAGGACAUAGCACUUUCCAGGAGGACAUUCACUGUCCCAAAGCUGGCAUCAGGACACCUACCACCUCUGUGCUGGUUCUACUGUCAUUAGAUAUGCACCUCAUCCUUCCAGACUCCCCACACCUUCCCCCUUGCAGAGCCACCAUGAAGCAUACCUAAUUGACCUGAGCCUUGUCAUUACCCCUUCAGGAUAUAGUCCCAGGUAGCAGCGUUUGAUUAGUUGUGCUUAGAUCUUGUCCUUGCUUGUGGUCCCAGGGGGAUAGCGGCCCUUUUCAUCUCUAGAGUAGAAGAGAGGGCUGCUUCACUAUCAUUAUCUUAGGAUUCUUCCUAAAUAGGAAAAGAUUUUAGAUGCCGGGCAGCCCAAAUUAUAAAUACCUAUUAUACCUAAAUUUUCGUUUUGUGGAUAUGGGUUCAUUACUUGCAAAUAAUAUCUUUCAGGGACUGAUUCUGUCAUCCAGUUAGUUUUCAUUCCUAGAUUUCUGCUGCUACAGACUUGGUAAGCUAGAUUUUCAUGUUUCUCCAGACUCCAAGGAUUACAGAGGAUAGUGUCAAAGUACACAUUGUGACCAGGCUUCCCUGGGGUUUGAGGGCCACACAUUAAUCUUCAGGAAAUGGUUGUCUAGACAACCAGCUAUAACCCUCCUACUUGAUUAAUCACCCAGUACACACACCUCUAUCCUGUCACUUAAAUGACAGAUAUCAAGAAAGGUUUUCUCAGAUGCCUUGAACAAAUCUUGAUACACUAGAUAUCUACCAGUACCCUUAUCUACCAAUCUAUUAAACCUAUCAGUUUUGUUAGUUAACAUGUUCUGUCCAGCGACCACCAGAGAUAUGGGGAUAAUAAGGUAGCCAACAAGGAUUUAAAACAUAAAGUUUCCAUUCUUCAUAUCUCAAAGGUAAUAGGCAUUAAAGAGUAAACUAAUUAUGUUUUUUUUCUCUUUGCUCAUAAUUAUGUUCUAAUUAUGUUUUUUUCUUUUUUUUCUUUUUAGUAAUCUCAAGAGACGAAAUAUGAUUGAAGAAGAAAUCAGUUUUCCUGUCUCAUUGGACAUGAUUGUGUUUAAAGGGGAAUCUUCAUGAUCACAGCAGGUAAGUCAGCUCCAGGACAGUUC